rnacentral:rRNA from 1 species
AGUGAACGCUGGCGGUAGGCCUAACACAUGCAAGUCGAACGGCAGCACAGUAAGAGCUUGCUCUUACGGGUGGCGCGUGGCGGACGGGUGAGGAAUACAUCGGAAUCUACUUUUUCGUGGGGGAUAACGUAGGGAAACUUACGCUAAUACCGCAUACGACCUACGGGUGAAAGCAGGGGAUCUUCGGACCUUGCGCGAUUGAAUGAGCCGAUGUCGGAUUAGCUAGUUGGCGGGGUAAAGGCCCACCAAGGCGACGAUCCGUAGCUGGUCUGAGAGGAUGAUCAGCCACACUGGAACUGAGACACGGUCCAGACUCCUACGGGAGGCAGCGGUGGGGAAUAUUGGACGAUGGGCGCAAGCCUGAUCCAGCCAUACCGCGUGGGUGAAGAAGGCCUUCGGGUUGUAAAGCCCUUUUGUUGGGAAAGAAAAGCAGCAGGUUAAUACCCCGCUGUUCUGACGGUACCCAAAGAAUAAGCACCGGCUAACUUCGUG